rnacentral:lncRNA from 1 species
GAAACGACAGUCUCAUGGGCCCGUGGGGAGGUUAAGUCCAGAUGCAGAGGAUUCGUGGAUACUAAUUAUCCAAUUCGCCAUAAUGAAGGCCUGAAUUAAGGCAGGAGCAGCCAAGAUGGAGACUCUGAAGACAGGAGUUAGCCACGAUAAAGCUGCCAGCGGUGGAGAGCUCACUCUAGGGGUACCAAGCACCCAGCUGAUUAGCAAAACCACCUGGGAGGUCACGGUCUCCUCGUUGCAGGUGAAGAAACGGAGGCGAGGUGGAGAAAGUCUGCACCAAAUGUGGGAUCGAGGCCUCCCCUGGCCAGAAGCGGCCCCUGUGGCUGUGUAAGAUCUGCAGUGAGCAAAGAGAGGUCUGGAAGAGGUCGGGGGCCUGGUUCUACAAAGGGCUCCCCAAGUAUAUCUUGCCCCUGAAGACCCCUGGCCGAGCUGAUGACCCCCACUUCCGACCUUUGCCCACGGAACCGGCAGAGCGAGAGCCCAGAAGCUCUGAGACCAGCCGCAUCUACACGUGGGCCCGAGGAAGAGUGGUUUCCAGUGACAGUGACAGUGACUCGGAUCUUAGCUC